rnacentral:rRNA from 1 species
GUUUAAAGCAGGCAGAUCCAAUUUUCUGCCACCGAAUACAUUAGCAUGGGAUAAUGGAAUAGGACCCUGUCCUCCUAUUUUCAGUUGGUUUUGGCAGCGCGAGGACUAGGGUAAUGAUUAAUAGGGAUAGUUGGGGGCAUUAAUAUUUAAUUGUCAAAGGUGAAAUUCUUGGAUUUAUGAAAAAUUAACUUCUGCGAAAGCAUCUGCCAAGGAUGUUUUCAUUAAUCAAGAACGAAAGUUAGGGGAUCGAAAACAAUCAAAUACCGUCGUAGUCUUAACCAUAAACAAUGCCAACCAGCGAUUAGGAAACGUUGAAUACAAAACACCACCAUCGGCGCGGUCGUCCUUGGCGUCUGUCCCUUUCAACGGGGGCAGGCGCGAGGGCGGUUUAGCCCGGUGGCACCGGUGAAUGACUCCCCUACCAGCUUGAGAAAAAA